rnacentral:tRNA from 2 species
GUCCUCAUAGUUCAAUGGAUAGAACAGCGCUCUCCUAAGGCGCGGAUCGAGGUUCAACUCCUCGUGGGGACA